UCUCCCUCGGCCCCUGGGGCUGGGGCUCUGGCUGUUCUCAGGGUGUGCUCCCCAAGAGUGCCGGACCAUGGUGUGGGGACCCGUGAGCUCCCUUCCAGCCUGUCUUCCUGGGGCUCUUUUCUGAGGGACCCAUCUGGCUGUUGCUGCCUUUGUGGGGACAGGUUUCAGGGACAGAGGGUGGAGGCUGCACCUGCUGGGGGUGAGGCAGCAUCUCCUAUCCCCAGCAGGGCCCCAGACCCCUCAGGAGCAGAACAAGGGGCGGCCAGCCUGCAAUUUCCACCUGCUGGCUGGUCCUUCUCCCCGGCCACUGCUUCCGUGCCUCCUCCAGGAGCCCUACUGGCCAGGGACUUCCCAUGUUUCCUGCAGUCUGCACCCUGGGGUCAGCCCUGGGGCAGAGGCCUGGGAGUGAGAGGAAACUGAGGCAUAGCCGGGUUAUGUGACCACCGAAGUCACACACCGCUGGGUGCCCGCCGCCCUUCAACACACACGGGGGGAGCUGGGAUGCCCUCUGCAGCAGGCAGAGCCGCAGCCCUGGGUGCUGAUGGACUCGGGGGCUUCACCUCAUCAGCCAACCAAGAGACCGGUACCCGAGGGCUGCCACCUGCUCACACACGCAGCCCUGCCUGGGCAGGGAGGGGCAGCCCUUCCCGGUGCUGGCUUCUGCCCUCCUUGGGAGGGGCUGGAGCCUGGCCAGAGGGGACCAGACAGGCUGUGCAGGUAGGACUGGGGACAAGAGGACAGUCCCAGGUCCCCAGGCAGUGGGGAGGUCACACCCCUCACAGUGAAUGCCAGGGAGUCUGACCCUGGGAGGCGUGGCCACGGGCUCCUAGGCCUCGCUGGGGUGGGUGCUCGGACUUGGGGUAAAGCAGACCCAGGAGGGGCGGCCUCUGCUCUCAGUGUGGGGGGAAAGCCCGCAGCUCAGGGUGGUGCUCAGCGAACACGUGGUUAACACAUGGCUCCCAGGGCGAGCCCUCAGUGGCUGGGGCAGGGCGGCCACCCUUCUUCCUCCGCUGCUCCCUGUCUUCAUUCUCAGCUUGCACCAUGAGCCUGGACCCCUUCCCAGCCUCCCAGGGCCUGUCCUCCUGGCCCUGACCUAUCGGAACCCACGGUCUUCCUGUGCUCUCCGCCCUGAAAAGCAGCUCCUCUCAGCGGAGGCACUGAGGAGGAGUGGCCUUCCUGGGGUCCAGGACCCCUACUUACCAUCCUGCUUGCUGCUAACGCUUCCCUAAGCUCCUCCGGCCUCGGUGUCAUCAUCUAACCAAGCAGGGCUGCAGACAGUAACAGGAUUGUGUGGGGACCCCUUGAGACCCGAUGGCUGGACAGCUAUGAGGUCAUUAUACAGGCCAUGGUCCUCCCUGUGGCACAAAGCCCUUCCUCACCCCCAGGUCAGACACGCGGUGCCCACAGGCCAGCCCAGAACCCCCACCUCCACAUCAGACCUCUCCUCACUGGGCCUAGGUGAAGGCCAGAGCCCACACUCACAUGGGGCCCUCGGGGCAUGGCAGCCCCAUCUCUGUUAGCUGGAGGAGGGACCUAGAAACUCCCUAAGUCUCAGUCCCAGCAUCCAUGAAACGCGAAAAACAGUUGCAACCCUCAGGAGCCGUGGUGGCUCAGCAGGGGACCCCAUGGCGCACACUGAGGGCCUGGGGCUCUGAGCAGCAGCCCAGCCCUCGCAGCCUUCCUCGGCUGCACCGUGUCCCCCCACCCCACGCCGCAGGGCCAUCAUUCCUGGUGCUCCAGAAAGGCCUCAGGUCUCCGUCUGCACAGCGAGGGUGCUCGGAGGGCCUCCAUGUGGUGGGUCCCUCGUCCACGCCCGCCUCCUCCUCUGAGAGCAGAUUCCAAAGCCUUCCGCAGAGGUGACCGUAGGUCGGGGGCUGCUGGGACUCCAGGGUGACAGCUCUGGGCCUCUGGCAUCUCCCCAAGCCCAUCCGAGCGCUGAGUCCCCAGGGCAUCUUCCGCCCCAGCCCUUCGGAAUUCAGGAGAUUGCCGCAUAGGUUUUCUCUGCCCCUUUGCUGUCAGUUGAGACAGAAAGUUCCUCUUGCUCAACCUGCCAGGCAUCUCUCCCCAGCAGUUCUGUGGGCGGUCAUGUCACACAGCACGCCUGCCCCCGCUCACCAAGCUUGCAAGGGUCUGUCUGCCAGAGCAGGCGCCAGGGUCACAGCCACCUGCACAGUGGCACCAGUCCUUAGCUACCUGCAGCAGGGGCCUGGAGCUCUGGCCAAGCCCAGAGAGACCACCUGCACCCGGGAGGGGCGGGAGAGCUUCCUGGAGGGAGCCCUGGGAGCUCCUGCAGGCUGGCUCUGGGCCCGUGGGGCCCACUGACCACCCUCUGCAUGCUGAGGCUUUGCCCUCAGAGAACCCCACUGGGCCACCCUGCACGGGGAUGAUAUGGGUGAUAACUGCACCGCUGUACCUGUUUACUGGCGAGCACCCCGUGUUGUCAGCGUGCGGUGUGUGUGAGAACACCACCAUCCUGUGAGGUCGGCCCCAUCACCACCCCACUUUACAGGUGGGGUCACAGAGGCUCAGAGAGACUAAGCAGUUCGCCUAAGGCUGCACAGCCAGUGAGAGUCAGGGUUUGAACUCCGGAAGUGUCCCAGUGGGCAAAGGCCUGGAUUAAUCCUGGGAGAAACUGGCACUGCCUGUGUGCCAGGGUGACAGGUGUGCCCUCAGAAGGGUGAGGCCCCUUAUCACAGAGGCCCUCACCCCACCCACGCCUGGAGGGGAACAUCGCGGUGAGGGUCCAGGCUCGCCGAGCAACCGCGGUGCUGUAGGCGCAGGCUUCUCUCACCCCCAGGAGGGCAGCCAGUGGGUACCUGAACGUGAUGGUCACCUCCCAUCACCCACAGUCAGUAAGCUCCGAGGACCCUGGCCCAGUGCCCAACUCAGCCACUGGCCCACUACGCGGGUACCCCUAAGUGACAUGAGGAAGGGCACAGGCAGGGGCCAUCUGUGGCCGUUAGAUACCUGGUUCCCUUCUCGGGGAUGGCUUCACAAGCAAGAGUUGCCCACGCCCGGCCACACUAGGAACAGUCCUGACGGGAAGGCGGUGGACAACCCCGGCUGCCCAGGAGCUGUCCUUCCCUUCGUGGAGCUCUCCCGACCAGAGCCCCCCCAGGGUGGGCACCUGGACAGGACCAAGGGGAGAGAGAGGUGCUAUCCACCGGCUGUGGUGUGCCGCGGAGCGCCAGGGCCGUGUAAGGUUUUACCUACCCCGUCUGCGAGAGGGAGAAGCAACCCAGACCAGGUCUCCACGCCAGUCCUCCCCAGGUCUCCGCUGGCCCGGAUCACAGGCACGCCCACUAUGCUCAGAGCAGUCCGUUCCCGGGUACCAGCCCAUGACCUCUCCCGUGAGGGCCCAGGGGCUCUCCCGUGCCGCUUUCUGGCCCAGCUCAGUACUGGAAAGCGCGGCCGGCCACCCAGCCCGUACUGCCCUCCACGGGGUCGAGGGGUGUCUUCACUUCCUGGGAAGGUAAACCAAGGGCUGCUCAAGAGACAUCUGCUGGGCUCCCUUACCAGCGACUUCCAGAGCCUCCUAUGGGCCAUCCGCUGUAUUUGGUGCUGAUCUGAGGGAUGUUUCUACCCUCUUUAAUCUGCAUGGGAACCACCAACGACCACUGUAACCAGCGCUGGUUACCGACGGGCGGUGUCCCCAAGCUCGGUGUCCCACGUCUGUCUCUGGGUCUAUGUACAUGAGUAGUGCGCACUCAGGUAGGCGCCAGGGAGCGCCCCUGCGAACCAGAUCCAAAGGGAAGGACUCUGAGGCGAGGGCAAAGGCAUAGCAAUGUUGCCAUGGGAACCGCUUGUCAUCCAUGUGGAAAACACACAUGUAGGCAGGAAAGGUCAGAGCAUGUCCUUCAAGCUGGCUUCCCACUCUGAUUCCCACCAGGCAGAGGGGACACCCCAGGCUUCUCUGAAUCGUGCCAUGCUGGUGCUGAAGACAGCUAGACGGGACUUACAGAACACCUGGCCAGGGACCCUGGGCAGCUCGGAGUUGCAGGGUCCCGUCUGCUGUAGCUCCCAGCAGUAGUCUGUGCUACUAAGGGCAGGAGCAAGCCAGGCACCAGUGGUCGACUGCCACCACACAGCCUCAGUGCUGCCAUUGCCCUCCUGUCCCCAGUGAGCACCUACAUGCCCAGCGAGGCUGCACCAGCUGUCAGGGCCAGGGCAGGUACCAAGGGCCGAAGCCUUGCUGCCUCCUCCCGCACCCCAUUGCAUCGUGCACCUGCAGACCGAGUGCUUCUCAUGCCUCUGUCCAGGCGUCCUGUGCAGUGCCUCCACUGGGGCAUGUCCCACCCUGCCCAGUGCCCAUCAUGGAGCUGUGCACCCUCCAGCCCUCAGCUCUCCCAGGAGGGUUCUAAUGCAGUGCCCACUCCGGCUGCGGGCUCCUCUCUCACUGCUUUCUGCAGGCCUCCAUCUCCAAGCACCCUGCACAGUCCCCGCCCAGCAGCACCUGCAGGCCCCUCGCACUGACCCAGGAGUUACUCUCUGCACGUCCAUGAUACCAGACCCUCAUGGGAGCGGACGUCUGAGUCUGCCCGUCCCUCCCAUCUGUGACAAGCUCACUCCAAGCCAGCACCAGGCCACCAUCUGGGUCAGCCCUGCGCCAGCCUCCUGUCAAGUCCUACCAAGUCUUCCACUUGGCCCUCUCUCCUCCUCCUCCCCUUCCCAAUGGGCACCCACAACUCCGAGACUCUCCUUCAUGCUCUUGGCCCCUAUUGUUGGCAUGUGGGUAGGCCCGGCCCAGCAUGUACCAUUCACCCCAUUCCAACAUGCCUCCCUGCUUGGCCAGGGCUGCCUCUGGCCAAGGAAGGAGUCAUCUUUGUACCUCUCGUAGCACCAGCCAAUAAAUUCAACAAAGAGAGGCUCGUGGUCCUCAGAACUAGUCAAGCCUGAGUUUAAGCCGCCCACGCCCCUCUGAGCCCUGGGUUCCCGCCCAUGGAAAGGGGAUGGAAGGCAGCCCGUGAGGUCUGAGAACCAGAUGCAGCAGGUGAUCCUUGUGGCCAAGUAGAACCCAGGAAAUGACAGCUCACACUCCCCCACCCGCCCCAACGGCAGCAGCAUCCCACAGACCCGAGGUGCCCCUUCCUGGUCUUGGGUGGGCCCAACUUCCUGAGCUGGGCCCAGGGGCCCGCAGAGCUGGCCGCGUCUGUCACGGCCUCCCUGAAAGUAGUCAGCCUCUCUGGCGUGUUUACUCCACCAACCCUUCUCUGUUCAUUUCUCUGGAAUAAUUAUCCUAAAAAUCAGUUUGAUUUUCAAACUUUUAAAAUUAAAAAUGGAACCUUUAAUAAUUGUUUGGACAACUGUCCAACAGUCAGUGGUUUCACUGACUCAAAGCCCACAUUUUAAGAAACAUUGUUAAAUGAAAACCAACCAAAAUAUUUUCAAAACAUGUUUUUAAAGUUUAUUUCUCCAGAGCGUGGGAGGGGGUCACCCCCAACAGGGCCUCACACAGGACCCGCCCAGCCCUCCCGGCCAGCCAAGUCACCGGAGCACACGUGUGUGCAUAGCUUAGGUUGGCCUGGGAACCAAACCCCGCCGUCCACAUGGAGGAAGCAUGGCAGAGCUGUGGCCACCACCGCGUCACCAGCUGACCCUCAGAACCUUUCGGCAACUCAAUGGGGAUAUUUUAGGGACUAACAUCACAUGUUUGGAAGGGAAAUUUAUCUCAAGUUCAGCAUAACCUGAGUUUCGAUUCAUUUUUAACAUUCUGUGUAAUGGAAUCAAAUUAAAUUUAUUACAUUAAAAAAGAAAA